rnacentral:misc_RNA from 1 species
GCAAACUUGGUCAUUUAGAGGAAGUAAAAGUCGUAACAAGGUCUCCGUUGGUGAACCAGCGGAGGGAUCAUUAAAGAGUGUAAAAACUCCUUAAACCCAUGUGAACUUACCUUCUGUUGCCUCGGCAGGUGAGACCCUGUCCCGUAGGGCGCCUACCCUGCCGACGGAUCAUCAAACUCUGUUUUAUUUUAUGGCAUUCUGAAUACCUAGCUAAAUAAGUUAAAACUUUCAACAACGGAUCUCUUGGUUCUGGCAUCGAUGAAGAACGCAGC